rnacentral:rRNA from 1 species
GAUGAACGCUGGCGGCGUGCUUAACACAUGCAAGUCGAACGGAAAGGCUCCUGCUUGCAGGGGUACUCGAGUGGCGAACGGGUGAGUAACACGUGGGUGAUCUGCCCUGCACUUCGGGAUAAGCCUGGGAAACUGGGUCUAAUACCGGAUAGGACCACAUUUUGGAUGGUGUGGUGGAAAGUUUUUCGGUGUGGGAUGAGCUCGCGGCCUAUCAGCUUGUUGGUGGGGUAAUGGCCUACCAAGGCGUCGACGGGUAGCCGGCCUGAGAGGGUGUACGGCCACAUUGGGACUGAGAUACGGCCCAGACUCCUACGGGAGGCAGCAGUGGGGAAUAUUGCACAAUGGGCGCUAGCCUGAUGCAGCGACGCCGCGUGGGGGAUGACGGCCUUCGGGUUGUAAACUCCUUUCGCUAGGGACGAAGCGUUUUUGUGACGGUACCUGGAGAAGAAGCACCGGCUAACUACGUG